AUUGAGGCAGUGAUGUAUGAAAUCUACCUAUUUUCUGAGGGAAUCGUGAAUUCCUCAGUGAUUAGAAGAAACCAAUGGAUCCUUCUGAGCCUUCGA
rfam:Punica granatum cultivar Dabenzi scaffold218, whole genome shotgun sequence.